rnacentral:rRNA from 1 species
ACUUAAAUUGAAGAGUUUGAUCAUGGCUCAGAUUGAACGCUGGCGGCAGGCCUAACACAUGCAAGUCGAGCGGUAGCACAGAGAGCUUGCUCUCGGGUGACGAGCGGCGGACGGGUGAGUAAUGUCUGGGAAACUGCCUGAUGGAGGGGGAUAACUACUGGAAACGGUAGCUAAUACUGCAUAACGUCGCAAGACCAAAGUGGGGGACCUUCGGGCCUCAUGCCAUCAGAUGUGCCCAGAUGGGAUU